rnacentral:rRNA from 1 species
UACGAAGGGGGCUAGCGUUGUUCGGAUUUACUGGGCGUAAAGCGCACGUAGGCGGAUUUUUAAGUCAGGGGUGAAAUCCCAAGGCUCAACCUUGGAACUGCCUUUGAUACUGGAAGUCUCGAGUCCGGGAGAGGUGAGUGGAACUGCGAGUGUAGAGGUGAAAUUCGUAGAUAUUCGCAAGAACACCAGUGGCGAAGGCGGCUCACUGGCCCGGAACUGACGCUGAGGUGCGAAAGCGUGGGGAGCAAACAGG